CUCUGAAAUCUGAAAAAUUCGCAAGUAGUAAGGCGUAGUAUACCCUACCAGUAGGACUGGGUUGCUAUUCCUACACUUGUGCUGAAUGGAUUCUAUGUAUAGUGUAGCACAAGAAGACACUAUACACGUUUACUAUCACUGUCUUUGACAUUUAGUGUAUAGUUGAUUGGAGUAAUUACAAAGAAUACACACCGAGGCCACGCCGAGUAGGAACGAGGGUACAGUGUGAAAAGCCGAUGUCAAUGACCGGAAGAGCCAAUCAAUGUAAAAUUAAUAAUCAAAGAACCCCCAGUGAUUUUAAUAGCUUUUUAGUAGAAUUGC
rfam:Bat Hp-betacoronavirus/Zhejiang2013, complete genome